ACAACCUUUUAACUUCUAGAAAGUACCCCUGAAAGUUCUAGAAAAGUACUUUGAAACGUUUGGAAAACAAACGGCCCAUAACUGAUAUGGGCCGUUUUUGGAAGCCAAUGAAAAAACAAAAAGUUGUACUUCCUGUCAGUCAGGCAUUUGACCUGUGAAUAUUUGAUUUUACAUGGAGCGUUGCUGCCAUCUAUUGGAAUUUUAUGGAACUGCUUUACUUCAUUCAGACAUUUCUAUCCCAAAUGCCGUAUUUCAGUUUAGGUUUCUUCAAAGCAGCGCUAUUUAUGCCGUGAUAAUCCACUUGUGUGGAUCAAACAACAAGGCAACCAGGAGGCGGCAGCGACGGUGACCACUCUGGGAUAUUAUCCAAAAGCUGCGGACAUAAACCGAGGACGUUCCGUUAGCUUUCCAUCAUCCUGUCUGUCCUGCUUGGCUUGAAGGCAUGACAGACUGCAGAAUCAGGACAUUUUACAGUAAAUUAAUACUGCCAUGUCAGUGAGGCUACGGGGAUCUGUCAGCGCCUCCAGGAAACUAUUUUCAGGGAUAAAGUCAGCAGAGCAUCCUGUGAGGACAUGUCAGCUGGAAGCAGAGGGAUGACUGCUCAACUUGAUGCAAUUAAAGGCGCCUAGAGGAAUGCAGUUCGUGCCCAAAUGGUUUUACUUGAAGGCGUUGCAUUAUAAAAGAGCAACAUGUGAAAAGAUUAUCCCUGUCAAACUUCAAAAGUCAAAUUUGUAAUGCUUCACACAACAUACUCACA